UACGUAGGGUGCGAGCGUUGUCCGGAAUUAUUGGGCGUAAAGAGCUCGUAGGCGGCUCGUUGCGUCGGCUGUGAAAACCCGCAGCUCAACUGUGGGCUUGCAGCUGAUACGGGCGGGCUGGGAUUCGGUAGGGGAGACUGGAAUUCCUGGUGUAGCGGUGAAAUGCGCAGAUAUCAGGAGGAACACCGGUGGCGAAGGCGGGUCUCUGGGCCGUAACUGACGCUGAGGAGCGAAAGCAUGGGGAGCGAACAGG
rnacentral:rRNA from 1 species